rnacentral:rRNA from 1 species
GGAGUUUGAUCCUGGCUCAGGACUAACGUUGGCGGCGUGCCUAAUACAUGCAAGUCGUACGAUCUUCGUAGCAAUAUGAAGGGAGUGGCGAACGGGUGAGUAACACGUGGAUGAUCUACCUUCAAGACUGGGACAACCUGCCGAAAGGCGGGCUAAUACCGGAUAAGACCACGUCCUGUAUCCAGGAUGUGGUAAAAGAUGGGGACCGCAAGGCCUAUCACUUGAAAAUGAGUCCGCGGCUGAUUAGCUAGUUGGCGGGGUAAUGGCCCACCAAGGCGAUGAUCAGUAGCCGGCCUGAGAGGGUGAACGGCCACACUGGAACUGAGACACGGUCCAGACUCCUACGGGAGGCAGCAGUAGGGAAUUUUCCGCAAUGGGCGAAAGCCUGACGGAGCGACGCCGCGUGAGGGACGAAGGUCUUCGGAUUGUAAACCUCUUUGGAGUGAGACGAAUGUGCUUACGGUUAACAAUCGUAGGCAGUGACGGUAUCACUAGAACAAGUCACGGCUAACUCUGUGCCAGCAGCCGCGGUAAUACAGAGGUGACGAACGUUGUCCGGAAUUACUGGGCGUAAAGGGCGUGUAGGUGGUCGGAUAAGUCAGAUGUGAAAGCUCUGGGCUUAACCCGGGAAUUGCAUUUGAUACUGUUCGGCUUGAGUACGGUAGAGGAGGGUGGAAUUCCCAGUGUAGCGGUGAAAUGCGUAGAUAUUGGGAGGAACACCGGUGGCGAAGGCGGCCCUCUGGACCGAGACUGACGCUGAAACGCGAAAGCUAGGGGAGCAAACGGGAUUAGAUACCCCGGUAGUCCUAGCCGUAAACUGUGAGUACUAGGUGUAGGAGGUAUUGACCCCUUCUGUGCCGCAGCUAACGCAUUAAGUACUCCGCCUGGGGACUACGGCCGCAAGGUUGAAACUCAAAGGAAUUGACGGGGGCCCGCACAAGCGGUGGAGCAUGUGGUUUAAUUCGACGCAACGCGAAGAACCUUACCUGGGCUUGACAUGCCCUGAUCGCCGGAUGAAAGUCCGGUUUCCCGCAAGGGACAGGGACACAGGUGCUGCAUGGCUGUCGUCAGCUCGUGUCGUGAGAUGUUGGGUUAAGUCCCGCAACGAGCGCAACCCCUAUUUCUAGUCGCCAUCAGGUCAAGCUGGGCACUCUAGAGAAACUGCCUCGGGAAACGAGGAGGAAGGUGGGGAUGACGUCAAGUCCUCAUGGCCUUUAUGUCCAGGGCUACACACGUGCUACAAUGGCCUAUACAAAGGGCUGCAAACCCGCAAGGGGGAGCCAAUCCUAAAAGUAGGCCUCAGUUCGGAUUGAGGGCUGCAACUCGCCCUCAUGAAGCUGGAAUCGCUAGUAAUCGCGGAUCAGCACGCCGCGGUGAAUACGUUCCCGGGCCUUGUACACACCGCCCGUCACGCCACGAAAGCUUGUUGUACCAGAAACCGGUGAGCCAACCCGCAAGGGAGGCAGCCGUCUACGGUAUGAUCGGUGAUUGGGGCGAAGUCGAAACAAGGUA